GGGGGGGGGGGGGGGGGGGGGGGGGGGAGGGGGGGCGGGGGGGGGCAGGGUAGGGGCGGGCUCGGACGGGGGGCGAGGGGCGGACGGGGGGGGGAUACAUCGGAAGCUACUUGUUCGUGGGGGAUAACGUAGGGGCACUUACGCUAAUACCGCAUACGACCUACGGGUGAAAGCAGGGGCUCUUCGGACCUUGCGCGAUUGAAUGAGCCGAGGGCGGAUUAGCUAGUUGGCGGGGUAAAGGCCCACCAAGGCGACGAUCCGUAGCUGGACUGAGAGGAUGAGCGGCCACACUGGAACUGAGACACGGUCCAGACUCCUACGGGAGGCAGCAGUGGGGAAUAUUGGACAAUGGGCGCAAGCCUGAUCCAGCCAUACCGCGUGGGUGAAGAAGACCUUCGGGUUGUAAAGCCCUUUUGUUGGGAAAGAAAAGCAGCAGGUUAAUACCCCGCUGUACUGACGGUACCCAAAGAAUAAGCACCGGCUAACUUCGUG
rnacentral:rRNA from 1 species